rnacentral:rRNA from 1 species
UAGGGAAUAUUGGUCAAUGGGUGAGAGCCUGAACCAGCCAUGCCGCGUGCAGGAAGAAGGCCUUCUGGGUUGUAAACUGCUUUUGCCGGGGGAUAAAAUUCCCAUGCGUGGGACAUUGAAGGUACCCGGUGAAUAAGCCACGGCUAACUACGUGCCAGCAGCCGCGGUAAUACGUAGGUGGCAAGCGUUGUCCGGAUUUAUUGGGUUUAAAGGGUGCGUAGGCGGUCUUGUAAGUCAGUUCUGAAAUAUCCCGGCUUAACCGGGAGGGUGGGAUUGAUACUGCAGGACUUGAGUGGAGUCGAGGUAGGCGGAAUUGACGGUGUAGCGGUGAAAUGCUUAGAUAUCGUCAAGAACACCGAUAGUGUAGACAGCUUACUAGUCUCAAACUGACGCUGAGGCACGAAAGUGUGGGGGAUCAAACAGGAUUAGAUACCCUGGUAGUCCACACUGUAAACGUUGAUUACUCGCUGUGUGCGAUAUACAGUACGCGGCUUAGCGAAG